rnacentral:lncRNA from 1 species
GCCCGUUGGUAACCAUGGCGACGGCUAAGCCCUCAACCGCCCAUCCCUCCUCGCUGAUUUCUAUCGCUGUGUGAUACCAAAAACAAAAAAGCAUUAUAAAACCCGGAGGCCUUUAAAAUUACAAAACACGUUAUAAACCAAUAAGGCGGCUGCACGUUUAAAACCGCCCUGCGGUGCUGUAGGCCGCCGCCAACCCCGUGUCGCGAAUGGAAUUGCGCACAACAGCCCUGUCGUGUAGGCCGCUGAUCCAGAUGGGCGGGUCACAAAUAAAAUAAUAAUAAUAAUAAUAAUAAUAAUAAUAAUAAUAAUAAUUUAUUAUCCUGAAUUGCAAACCAUGAUGGAUGAGCGCAGUUCAUAUCCUGGGUUCCUUUGGGAGGGUGGGAUAUAUAUUGAAUAAAUAAAAUGACAACAAUGAAUUGCCUUGAUUGAUCCUAUACAGUGGUACCUCGGGUUAAGAAUUUAAUUCGUUCCGGAGGUCCGUUUUUAACCUGAAACUGUUCUUAACCUGAAGCACCCCUUUAGCUAAUGGGGCCUCCCGUUGCUGCCGCGUGAUUUCUGUUCUCAUCCUGAAGCAAAGUUCUUAACCAUUGCUGUCAACCUUCCCUUUUUUUUUGCGGGAAAUUCCCUUAUUCCAGCGCUGUUUCCCGCUGCUAUCCCAGAUUGUUAGAUAUCCGGUAGACUGUCCCUGGUGUUAGGAUAUCUGAUCCUAAGGGGUCCGGUUCCAGUCACCUGCCCCUGCUGUUAGCAUGAAGGACUCCUCUCCCUUCACUGGGACUGGUGAGGCUGCUGAUCCCUUAUUUUCGAGGCUGCUGAUCCCUUAUUUUCAAAUCUGAAAGUUGACAACUAUGUUCUUAACCCGAGGUACUGUUUCUGGGUUAGCAGAGUCUGUAACCUGAAGCGCCUGUAAUCCUAGGUACCACUGUAUUGUAAAUGGGGGCUUACGACAGCCCCGUCGUGAAAUCGCAUGUGAUGCAAGCCCUGAAGUGUAGGCCAUUGGCCACAUUUUAAAAAAAACAUUGUCGAGAUUGCACUGGACUCCACUUGCCCAGAUUUGGCAAAGGUUGCUGUGAUUUAUGCUGACUGGGAUGCUGCUUCACACACAGUGGGAUUGCUAUUGAUAAUAAUUUUUUAUUAUUUGUAUGCUGUCCAUCUGACGAUUGCCCCAGCUACCGUGGGCGGCUCCCAGCAGAAUAGUAAAGCAUCAAACAUUAAAAACCUCCUUAAACAGGGCUGUCUUCUGAAAGUCAGGUAGUUGCUGCACCAUUCAGGCAUCCUAGAGUCAAAUAUAUAGCACCACCUCUACAAUUACAUCCCAGGUGCUCUCUCCAGAUCCAGCCCUGGCGCUCCUCUCCCCCAGAGUGCGGCAUUAACCCAUCCAUUUUGCUUCGAUCUUUUUGUGCUCACUGGCAUAGGAUGUUGGUGGCUUCCCACUGAAAGCCCAACUCACUCCCUUCACAGGAGGAAUGGCUAGGGAAGGGAAGGGAAGGGGACAUUUGACACACCAAAGGAGAGUCUUUAACGGUUUGUCUAAAAUAGAACAUGGCAGAAGAUCUUAUGUUAAACCAGAUGCACAGCCCACUCACUAGUUCCCCAUUUUGUGGAUAAACAUGUGGAGGCUUUAUUGAUAACUAAAUUAGCUCUCUUUCUUCUCUUUAUAUACAAUUGCUGUUUCAAGCUGCAUUGCACACUCCUUUGUUCCGCAGUUUUCUCCUCCCUUUCUUCUGUAUUCUUGUUUGCACCAUCAUUUUUACUGCAUUCUGUAUUUGCUUAUGUCUGUAUCCCUUCUAUUAUGAAAAAUGACCCAAAAAAAUCGUUUUCUUUUUCUUUUUUUAAAAGUAGGCCACUGAACAUUUCAUGAGCGAGUCAUAGUUCAGUGGAAAACAACCUGUUCUGCAUGCAGAGGAUGCCAGGUUCACUUCUCAGCAUCUCCAGGUAGGGCUAGGAAAAAGACUCUUGUCUGAAACCUCCAAGAGUUGCUUCCAGAGCACACAAUCUUCUGCUACCUACCUACAUCAAAGCUCUGAUUCUGCAUAAGGCUGCUUUUUUAUUUUUAUUUUUUUUGUAUCUGCAGCAUGGGUGGUGGGGGAGGUAAAGAGACCGUGACUUGCAAAAGCCCUAUAAUGUAGUCCUGUAUCAGAGGUGGGCC